UUUAUCGUUCCAACUGACACUGAAAAAAUUCAUUUUGCAAUUCAAUUUUCAAGAUAUAUUUUGGAUUUUUUCAUAAAAUUUUUAUCGGACUGAAAUAUCUUUUUUUUUAACGGAAUUCUCUAGGUGAUCCACAGCAGCUCCAAUUUGAAAUUCAACAAGAAACGAGUCACGAGUUCAGACACCUGUUGAGUCUCAUGUGUAAGGUUUCACGUGACUGCAAUUACCGGUACAUCGGGAUCAUGUGCUUAUCGAAAAAAUUGUGCAUUCAGGUGUAAUGGAUUUUCCUAGGAAUGCAGAGGGAUAAUUGUUCAGCAGCAUUCAUUGACUCCUGCCAAGAAGAAAGAACUUCACAUUCAGGGAUUCAGUGAAUAUUCUCAACUGUCAAUUGUCAUAUUAUUUUUUGCCCAUCAGUCUGCGGUGCCAGGACUAUAAAGUUGUCCUUCGAAAUUCAAAUAUUCAUCCUCGUUUUCUUUCCUUGAUGAUUUUAUAGCCAGUGCGUGUCUCCUACCUCGGCUUUAUUUUUUUGGCACCGGUUUCGCAAUGAAUUUAAUAAUUUAAAAAACAAAUCGAGUAUCAAAUCCUCCAAUCAUUCUAAAUGACGUAAUUUUUAAUAAAAAUUCAAGUGUGCAGAAGAAUAAAUAUUGAAUGAAAUCAUAA